GCCGGGCGAGGUGGCGGGUGCCUGUAGUCCCAGCUACUCUGGAGGCUGAGGCAGGAGAAUGGCGUAAACCCGAGAGGUGGAGCUUGCAGUGAGCUGAGAUCUGGCCACUGCACUCCAGCCUGGGCGACAGAGUGAGACUCCCUCUCAAAAAAAAAAAAGAUGGAGUCUCGCUCUGUUGCCCAGGCUGGAGUGCAGUGGCAUGAUCUCAACUCACUGCAACCUCCUCCUCCUAGGUUUAAGCGAUUCUCCUGCCUCAC
rnacentral:sRNA from 1 species